AACGGCAAACGUACGUAUCGGCCGCUUGCUUUGGUGGUCAUUUAUCGGCACCAACCCGAGAUUGUGGCCGCACCGAAAGAGCGCCGUGAAAUCUGUGAUGGAAGAAGGCAAUUGGGGAUCCCGCUCCAAGAUUGCCCUCAGCUGCGUCGAUUCUUGAUUCUUGAUUUGUGCUUCCUUUCCCCCGCACACAAUGUUUUCGGCCGCCCUUGCCCCUUGCUGGUUAAUCCGACGCUGCUCGUCGAUUGAGAUUGCGGCAACGAUGUCGGUAGGAUUCGUAAUCGGAGAUCAUCUUUAACUACGUGAUUCGAAGGAAAGAAUUGGAUUCACACAAGAUUUGGGAGUUCUUGGAAUCUGCUUUUGUCAGACAAGUAGCAUCAUCUUAUUGCGGUGGGUAGUAUUCACUUCCUCUUUAUCUUUUACUGAUGUCGUUUUAGGCCAUGUGUUGUAAUGUAAACACUUGUUCAGAAAGACCUAAAGUGUAAUAUCUGGAAAGUAGCUAAGCAUGUGAGGUGACUGAUACUUCUGAAACAUAGAGGCUGAAAUGAGCCUGUUAUGAGUGAGAUUGAUAUAUAUUGUGGCUUCUUGGUUGGUUUGCUUCU